rnacentral:rRNA from 1 species
AACGAACGCUGGCGGCAUGCCUAACACAUGCAAGUCGAACGAGACCUUCGGGUCUAGUGGCGCACGGGUGCGUAACGCGUGGGAACCUGCCCUUAGGUUCGGAAUAACUCCCCGAAAGGGGUGCUAAUACCGGAUAAUGUCUUCGGACCAAAGAUUUAUCGCCUUUGGAUGGGCCCGCGUUGGAUUAGCUAGUUGGUAGGGUAAAAGCCUACCAAGGCGACGAUCCAUAGCUGGUCUGAGAGGAUGAUCAGCCACACUGGGACUGAGACACGGCCCAGACUCCUACGGGAAGCAGCAGUGGGGAAUAUUGGACAAUGGGCAAAAGCCUGAUCCAGCAAUGCCGCGUGAGUGAUGAAGGCCUUAGGGUUGUAAAGCUCUUUUACCCGGGAUGAUAAUGACAGUACCGGGAGAAUAAGCUCCGGCUAACUCCGUG